rnacentral:lncRNA from 1 species
UUCAAUCCUAUCAGAAAUCCAAGAACGACUGGUAUUAACUGAAAAUAUAUAGGAAGCCUAACACAGCUUCCAAAACUUAGCCAAUUGUAAAGACCGCUGAUCACUUGAACAGUCCCUUCAACAUGUUGGAGCAUCCGUCUUCAGCCUUCUGACCAGAGUCAUCUGACAGACUUAGAGAAACAGGAAUAUUAAGGAUUAGCCUACUCUGGCUCAGCAGAAUCAAGCUGUCUUAACCUGUAAUUGUGUCCUUUUUUUGGACAGUAUUAUGUCUGUAGAUGAAAUGAGGCAAUUCUUUUUUUUUUUUUUUUUUUCUGAGACAGGGUUUCUCUGUUAUAGCUCUGGCUGUCCUGGAGCUCACUUUGUAGACCAGGCUGACCUUGAACUCAGAAAUCCACCUGCCUCUGCCUCCCAAAUGCUGGGAUUAAGGCAUGCGCCACCACUGCCCAGCUUUUUAUUUCUUAUUUUUGGCAAUUCUUGCCUAGUGGCUAUUUCGCUACAACUGGAAUAUCUCAAAGAUACCCAGGUUCUUCUUUGAAUCCAAGACAGGGAAGCUAUCAGGAGCAGACUAGUCUCAACAACAAGUGAAUAAAUAACAUUAAACGUCACUUUCUGUGGAUUUUUGACGUUCUUUGAAAACCAACUAUGUGACGUAAUCUGGACUGUUCUCUGUGACCUACUCUCAGCCAUUUCUAGUUAAAAUAACUGAAAACACCCUAAUAAUAAACUCAGAGGCAUGAAUUUCCUAUUUGGCCCUUAACUCACAGGCUUAAACAUCUCAGAUCUGUUUAUAACAACAGCAAUAGAAGGACUAGUCUAAGCCCUGCACUUCAAAAUUUUUAGUGUCAAUAGAAGAAUUUUAUACCAAUAAAAACCUUUGAUUUUGCAUCAAAUUAUGUACCAUUUAAGAAAUUAUGACUUCAGCUUAGUAACAAAGAGAUUUCUACUAAAUGAGAUUAUGGCGAUGCAGUCAAUUUGAGAUAUUCCUCCCUGUUCCAAAUUAUGACCAUUUCUAUAUUCCCUAGAAAGACAAACUAUUAAUAAUCCUCUCCAGCCACAAAGCCCAGGGAACUGGGUCGACGACUCUUCUUCAAGCUGAAUAUAUACAGUAGGGAAAACAGGAUUGAUUAGUCUCUGAUGUCUGUGCCUUGACUGGAUCCGGCUGAAGUCCAGGACAUCAGGAGUUCAAGCAGGUCAGUUUAGCAUGUCUGCGGAGGAAAUUCACCAAGGCUGUAUAUUCUAAUACAUAAACCUCAAAACAAAAUUUUAGCAUCAUCAAGAUAGAUUUUUUCAUUUGAUUCUCUGGCAUCUAGUCCUCUGGAGGUCUCCCUUCGUCAUAUCUGAUCCAUAGAACUCUGGAAGGUGUAAAUACCUUAAUCACCUUUUCCAAAAACACAAAGACAAAACCUUUUUCCCAAAUCAGCAUAUCCUUGAGCCAGUAACCAGCAAAACCUUCAUUUUGACCUCUCUCCCAGAGGAAAAUAUAACCAUAAAACUUAACAUCACACUUCUAUCUGUACCCACUUAUAAGCAGGCAGCUAGUCAAAGCAGGAUUUAAACCCAGAAUUCCUGUGGAGCCCACAUCAGACAGAAUUUGAGUAUCCUGUUAAGUCGUAUUAGAGCAAUAUGUCUUUAUACUGUCUUUCUAUUUGGCUCUCUGCCUAGAGCCACAGGCGUUUAUUUUAUUUAUACCUGUACAAUAUCUGUCUGUUGAACUCUCUACCAGGAGCCACAGACAUUAAAUUAAUACCUGUUCAAAGCAGGCUGUGGUUAUCACUGCACUCUGUACUCUGGAGUCAGUGACUAAUAUUGCCUAUCUAGUUCGAACAGGAGGCGAAAUUUCCCACGUGAUUCGGACAGAAUCUGAAUAUAAAUUUAUCCUAAAAGCAAAUAAUCCUAAUUUUAAAUUCACAGUUUAAUCCCUUUGCCCUAAGAGAUAGGCAAAUUCCAUUCUUCUCCUAACUCAGAAUUUACUCAGCCAGUAAAUUCCCAGGGCAAGAGUCCUCAGCACAGUUAGCAGUCUCUUUGUUUAAACUUUCCCUCCCUUGAGUCACGCUAGUGCUACCCAGUUAUUUAAC